AACGAACGCUGGCGGCAUGCCUAACACAUGCAAGUCGAACGAGAGCUUCGGGUCUAUUGGCGCACGGUUUCGUAACGCGUGGGAACCUGCCCUUAGGUUCGGAAUAACUCUCCGACAGGGGUGCUAAUACCGGAUAGUGUCUUCUGACCAAAGAUUUAUCGCCCUUGGAUGGUCCCGCGUUGAAUUAGCUAGUUCGUAGGGUAAUAGCUUACCACGGCGACGAUCCAUAGCUGGUCAGAGAGGAUGGUCAGCCACACUGGGACUGAGACACGGCCCAGACUCCUACGGGAGGCAGCAGUGGGGAAUAUUGGAAAAUGGGGGAAGGGCUGAAGGAGCAAUGAUGCGUGAGUGAUGAAAGCCUUAAAGUUGUAAAGCUCUUUUAACCGGGAUGAUAAUGACAGUACCGGAUGAAUAAGCUCCGGCUAACUCCGUG
rnacentral:rRNA from 1 species